rnacentral:rRNA from 1 species
UCCGUAGGGUGGAACCUGCGGAGGGAUCAUUACCGAGUUUACAACUCCCAAACCCCUGUGAACAUACCAAUUGUUGCCUCGGCGGAUCAGCCCGCUCCCGGUAAAACGGGACGGCCCGCCAGAGGACCCCUAAACUCUGUUUCUAUAUGUAACUUCUGAGUAAAACCAUAAAUAAAUCAAAACUUUCAACAACGGAUCUCUUGGUUCUGGCAUCGAUGAAGAACGCAGCAAAAUGCGAUAAGUAAUGUGAAUUGCAGAAUUCAGUGAAUCAUCGAAUCUUUGAACGCACAUUGCGCCCGCCAGUAUUCUGGCGGGCAUGCCUGUUCGAGCGUCAUUUCAACCCUCAAGCCCAGCUUGGUGUUGGGACUCGCGAGUCAAAUCGCGUUCCCCAAAUUGAUUGGCGGUCACGUCGAGCUUCCAUAGCGUAGUAGUAAAACCCUCGUUACUGGUAAUCGUCGCGGCCACGCCGUUAAACCCCAACUUCUGAAUGUUGACCUCGGAUCAGGUAGGAAUACCCGCUGAACUUAAGCAUAUCAAUAAGCGGGAGGAAA